rnacentral:rRNA from 1 species
GAUGAACGCUAGCGGCAGGCCUAAUACAUGCAAGUCGAACGGUCCGCUUCGGCGGAUAGUGGCGCACGGGUGCGUAACACGUAUGCAACCUACCUUACAUUGGGGGAUAGCCUUUCGAAAGGGAGAUUAAUACCGCAUAAGACAGUAGCUGGGCAUCCAGUAGCUGUUAAAGAUUUAUCGAUGUAAGCUGGGCAUGCGUCCAAUUAGUUAGUUGGUGAGGUAACGGCUCACCAAGACGAUGAUUGGUAGGGGAACUGAGAGGUCAAUCCCCCACACUGGCACUGAGAUACGGGCCAGACUCCUACGGGAGGCAGCAGUAGGGAAUAUUGGGCAAUGGACGCAAGUCUGACCCAGCCAUGCCGCGUGCAGGAAGAAGGCGUUCUGCGUUGUAAACUGCUUUUAUAUAGGAAGAAACGACCCUUGCGAGGGGCAUUGACGGUAUUAUAUGAAUAAGCACCGGCUAACUCCGUGCCAGCAGCCGCAGUAAAAC